rnacentral:rRNA from 1 species
UACGUAGGGUGCGAGCGUUGUCCGGAAUUACUGGGCGUAAAGAGCUCGUAGGUGGUUUGUCGCGUUGUUCGUGAAAACUCACAGCUUAACUGUGGGCGUGCGGGCGAUACGGGCAGACUGGAGUACUGCAGGGGAGACUGGAAUUCCUGGUGUAGCGGUGGAAUGCGCAGAUAUCAGGAGGAACACCGGUGGCGAAGGCGGGUCUCUGGGCCACUACUGACGCUGAGAAGCGAAAGCGUGGGGAGCGAACAGG